rnacentral:rRNA from 1 species
UACGGGGGGGCAAGCGUUGUUCGGAAUUACUGGGCGUAAAGGGCUCGUAGGUGGCCAACUAAGUCAGACGUGAAAUCCCUCGGCUUAACCGGGGAACUGCGUCUGAUACUGGAUGGCUUGAGUUUGGGAGAGGGAUGCGGAAUUCCAGGUGGAGCGGUGAAAUGCGUAGAGAUCUGGAAGAACACCAAAGGCGAAGGCAGCGUCCUGGGAAGCAUCUGACGCUCAGGUGCGAAAGCUAGGGGAGCGAACGGG